UCCAGACUCCUACGGGAGGCAGCAGUGGGGGAUAUUGCACAAUGGGGGAAACCCUGAUGCAGCGACGCCGCGUGAGUGAAGGAGCGUUUCGGCGCGUAAAGCUCUAUCAGCAGGGAAGACAAACUGCCCCGGAAGGGGCAGCCGGACGGUACCUGACCAAGAAGCCCCGGCUAACUACGUGCCAGCAGCCGCGGUAAUACGUAGGGGGCAAGCGUUAUCCGGAUUCACUGGGCGUAAAGGGAGCGCAGGCGGCGCGGCAAGUCUGAUGUGAAAGCCCGGGGCUCAACCCCGGGUCUGCAUUGGAAACUGUCGAGCUAGAGUGUCGGAGGGGUAAGUGGAAUUCCUAGCGUAGCGGUGAAAUGCGUAGAUAUUAGGAGGAACACCAGUGGCGAAGGCGGCUUACUGGACGAUGACUGACGCUGAGGCUCGAAAGCGUGGGGAGCAAACAGGAUUAGAUACCCCAGUACC
rnacentral:rRNA from 1 species